rnacentral:rRNA from 1 species
AGGGAAACCGAGUCUUAAUUGGGCGUUAAGUUGCAGGGUAUAGACCCGAAACCCGGUGAUCUAGCCAUGGGCAGGUUGAAGGUUGGGUAACACUAACUGGAGGACCGAACCGACUAAUGUUGAAAAAUUAGCGGAUGACCUGUGGCUGGGGGUGAAAGGCCAAUCAAACCGGGAGAUAGCUGGUUCUCCCCGAAAGCUAUUUAGGUAGCGCCUCGUGAAUUCAUCUCCGGGGGUAGAGCACUGUUUCGGCUAGGGGGCCAUCCCGGCUUACCAACCCGAUGCAAACUGCGAAUACCGGAGAAUGUUAUCACGGGAGACACACGGCGGGUGCUAACGUCCGUCGUGAAGAGGGAAACAACCCAGACCGCCAGCUAAGGUCCCAAAGUCAUGGUUAAGUGGGAAACGAUGUGGGAAGGCCCAGACAGCCAGGAUGUUGGCUUAGAAGCAGCCAUCAUUUAAAGAAAGCGUAAUAGCUCACUGGUCGAGUCGGCCUGCGCGGAAGAUGUAACGGGGCUAAACCAUGCACCGAAGCUGCGGCAGCGACACUGUGUGUUGUUGGGUAGGGGAGCGUUCUGUA